CUUUUAUUAAAGAAGAAAAAAUGAUGGAAAAAUCAUUCUGACGGUAUUUAAUGAAUAAGCCCCGGCUAACUAUGUGCCAGCAGCUGCGGUAAUACAUGGGGGGCAAGCGUUAUCCGGAUUUAUUGGGCGUAAAGGGUGCGUAGGCGGUUUAAUAAGUCUAUGGUCUAAGUUCAACGCUUAACGUUGUGAUGCUAUAGAAACUGUUUGACUAGAGUUGGAUAGAGGCAAGUGGAAUUCCAUGUGUAGCGGUAAAAUGCGUAAAGAUAUGGAGGAACACCAGUAGCGAAGGCGGCUUGCUGGGUCUUAACUGACGCUGAGGCACGAAAGCGUGGGGAGCAAACAGGA
rnacentral:rRNA from 1 species